AAAAGUGCCAUUCAAAAGCUUAAAAAGGAGAAGUUCCAAUAUUUAAAUUGACCCCUGUGCUUUCUCUCGUUUGUCCAAUGUCAUGGUUUACUUCAUCGAUUCUCCACUGGACAAAGCUCCUUCCAUAAACUUUACAGGAUAUUUGAUAUUCCAUCUGCUCCUGCUUUAGAAACUCCUCUGCAGCCAAAUCCUGCAAAUCUCAACUUGAAUAGACAGACUGUCUCAAUUGCACAGCAUUCUUGCAUUUAGACACCCAAGUGUCUUCCAGGAUUGAUCACUGGGAGAAAUGUUGUGAAUUCCGUGAAACACCCGUUUCAAUCACUUUCAAGCACCCCAAUGGCCGUUUUGCUCUUAUUGGGAUUAUCUGAUAAAUGUGUUCAUGCCUACAGGUAAGCUGCCAGACAGCUUAGAUUUCCUCUUUGUUAUCAAUUUCUCAAGCACCCACAUGUUUGUCUAGACUGUUUUAAAUUUCAAGUUGUUUUUGAGUUCUAGGCCCUACAUGAUAACCUAAAUGUUCACAUCAUUAUCCUGUAUACAUUCAUUUAAAUCCUCCAAUGAGGUUCGGAAGUAAGCAGAUGUAUAACCAACUUGCAAGUUUAUUUGCAAAUCUAGUACUUAGGGGAUAGGAUUAUGCUUUCUCCUCCUCCUUCAUGGUGCCUGAUUUACUGCUUCUCCUCUUUGUCCUCAUCCAUGCUUCCCUGAUUCUAUCUCUGAUUCUUGUGGGUGUAGUCCUACUGUUAAUUGGUGCACUGAUCGUUUCUUUCCUUGUUAUACUCUGGCUGCUUGUGUAUGAUCUCUAUAAGCUGCUGUUCCUGGCGAUGCAUUGCGUGAAGAGUGUAGUGUCCUGUCUGUUUUGGUUUUUGCUGUUUUUUGCGUCCUUGGUGGUUAGUAGCGUGGUGGGAAUUGUGAACACUGUCGUAGGCUUUGUUCAUUCAGUGAUCUCGGAGUAUGGAGUAUGGACAGACUACAACACUUCCAGCAAUUGUUCCAGGGACUAUACCUAAUCAUGCCUGUCUUACACUCACCCAAGUUAAGGCAAGGUGACACCCGACUGUGAAUGAUGGUUUGGUCCACUUUACAUGGAGGGAACUGUUCAGAUACUCAUUUUUGUUGGCAGCCUAAGGUUGUAUGUAACAUCUAGAUCUGAGCCCUGUCCUGAGUUGAGUGUGGCUGCAUUUUUCUUCAUCCAGAAUGUGAGGAGGUGCGCUACAUACACACCAUCCAAUCCAGUGGAUAUGGAGUUUUCUGAUGGAUUUAUAUUUCCAGAAAAAUAUACAAAUUCACAAAUUCAUUCUUUAUGCAUUUUUGACAAAUGCCAAAAAUGAUUCUUUGGUUUUUGUAAUACUUAAAGACUAAGAAUAUUUACAAGUUUUGUCAUGAAUUUAUACCGAAUCAUUACCUAUGUAAAAAUAAGUCUUGAUAGAAAUUCAUAUAUUUGGUAAGGCAAUUAAAGCCUUUACCUUUAACUUUC